AAUGAACGCUAGCGGCAGGCCUAAUACAUGCAAGUCGAACGGGAUUAGGGAGCUUGCUCCCUAUGAGAGUGGCGCACGGGUGCGUAACACGUAUGCAACCUACCUUCAACAGGGGGAUAGCCUUCCGAAAGGGAGAUUAAUACCGCAUAACAUAAUGAAACGGCAUCGUUUUAUUAUCAAACAAAUAGGGUUGAAGAUGGGCAUGCGUCCGAUUAGUUUGUUGGUGAGGUAACGGCUCACCAAGACUAAGAUCGGUAGGGGAUCUGAGAGGAUUGCCCCCAACACUGGUACUGAGACACGGACCAGACUCCUACGGGAGGAAGCAGUAAGGAAUAUUGGUCAAUGGACGCAAGUCUGAACCAGCCAUGCCGCGUGCAGGAAGACGGUCCUCUGGAUUGUAAACUGCUUUUGUUAGGGAAGAAACCCUCGGAUGCGUUCGAGGCUGACGGUACCUAAAGAAUAAGGAUCGGCUAACUCCGUGCCAGCCGCCGCCGUAAUAC
rnacentral:rRNA from 1 species